CCUUCGGGUUGUAAAGCACUUUUGUUGGGGAAGAAACCGGCCGGGUUAAUACCCUGGUUGAAUGACGGUACCCAAAGAAUAAGCACCGGCUAACUUCGUGCCAGCAGCCGCGGUAAUACGAAGGGUGCAAGCGUUACUCGGAAUUACUGGGCGUAAAGCGUGCGUAGGCGGUUUGUUAAGUCUGCUGUGAAAGCCCUGGGCUCAACCUGGGGAACUGCAGUGGAUACUGGCGAGCUAGAGUGUGUCAGAGGAUGGUGGAAUUCCCGGUGUAGCGGUGAAAUGCGUAGAGAUCGGGAGGAACACCAGUGGCGAAGGCGGCCAUCUGGGGACAACACUGACGCUGAGGCACGAAAGCGUGGGGAGCGAAACAGGGAUUAGAUACCCUGGUAGUCCACGCCCUAACGAUGCGAACUGGACGUUGGGGCACACUAGGUGCUCAGUGUCGAAGCUAACGCGUUAAGUUCGCCGCCUGGGAGUA
rnacentral:rRNA from 1 species